rnacentral:tRNA from 1 species
CCUGGUAGCUCAGAGGGUAAAGCAUCUGCCUGCAAUGCGGGAGACCUGGGUUCAAUCCCUGGGUCAGGA